AUUGAACGCUGGCGGCAGGCUUAACACAUGCAAGUCGAACGAGCGGCGGCCGGGUGAGUAAUGUCUGGGAAACUGCCUGAUGGAGGGGGAUAACUACUAGAAACGGUAGCUAAUACCGCCUACCAUCGGAUGUGCCCAGAUGGGAUUAGCUAGUAGGUGGGGUAAAGGCUUACCUAGGCGACGAUCCGUAACUGGUCUGAGAGGAUGAACAGGCACACUGGAACGGAGACACUGUCCAGACUCCUACGGGAGGCAGCAGUGGGGAAGAUUGGACAAUGGGCGAAAGCCUGAUGCAGCCAUGCCGCGUGUGUGAAGAAGGUCUUCGGAUUGUAAAGCACUUUAAGGUGGGAGGCGUUACCCACAGAAUAAGCACCGGCUAACUUCGUGCCAGCAGCCGCGGUAAUUC
rnacentral:rRNA from 1 species